GAUGAAGAACGUAGCGAAAUGCGAUACUUGGUGUGAAUUGCAGAAUCCCGUGAACCAUCGAGUCUUUGAACGCAAGUUGCGCCCGAAGCCACUAGGCCGAGGGCACGCCUGCCUGGGCGUCACACGCCGUUGCCCCCCCAUCUACUCCUUCGGGAUUGCGGGGGGGCGGAUGAUGGCCUCCCGUGCGCCUAGCCGCGCGGUUGGCAUAAAUACCAAGUCCUCGGCGACGCACGCCACGACAAUCGGUGGUUGCGAAACCUCGGUUGCCCGUCGUGUGCGUUCGUCGCGCAUCAAGGGCUCGAAAAAAUGCUCGGCUCCGGCUGGGCUUUCAACGCGACCCCAGGUCAGGCGGGGUUACCCGCUGAAUUUAAGCAUAUCAAUAGCGGAGGA
rnacentral:misc_RNA from 1 species